CAGGUGGUCAGGUAGAGAAUACCAAGGCGCUUGAGAGAACUCGGGUGAAGGAACUAGGCAAAAUGGUGCCGUAACUUCGGGAGAAGGCACGCUGACACGUAGGUGAAGUGAUUUACUCACGGAGCUGAAGUCAGUCGAAGAUACCAGCUGGCUGCAACUGUUUAUUAAAAACACAGCACUGUGCAAACACGAAAGUGGACGUAUACGGUGUGACGCCUGCCCGGUGCCGGAAGGUUAAUUGAUGGGGUCAGCGCAAGCGAAGCUCCUGAUCGAAGCCCCGGUAAACGGCGGCCGUAACUAUAACGGUCCUAAGGUAGCGAAAUUCCUUGUCGGGUAAGUUCCGACCUGCACGAAUGGCGUAAUGAUGGCCAGGCUGUCUCCACCCGAGACUCAGUGAAAUUGAACUCGCUGUGAAGAUGCAGUGUACCCGCGGCAAGACGGAAAGACCCCGUGAACCUUUACUAUAGCUUGACACUGAACAUUGAGCCUUGAUGUGUAGGAUAGGUGGGAGGCUUUGAAGUGUGGACGCCAGUCUGCAUGGAGCCGACCUUGAAAUACCACCCUUUAAUGUUUGAUGUUCUAACGUGGACCCGUAAUCCGGGUUGCGGACAGUGUCUGGUGGGUAGUUUGACUGGGGCGGUCUCCUCCUAAAGAGUAACGGAGGAGCACGAAGGUUGGCUAAUCCUGGUCGGACAUCAGGAGGUUAGUGCAAUGGCAUAAGCCAGCUUGACUGCGAGCGUGACGGCGCGAGCAGGUGCGAAAGCAGGUCAUAGUGAUCCGGUGGUUCUGAAUGGAAGGGCCAUCGCUCAACGGAUAAAAGGUACUCCGGGGAUAACAGGCUGAUACCGCCCAAGAGUUCAUAUCGACGGCGGUGUUUGGCACCUCGAUGUCGGCUCAUCACAUCCUGGGGCUGAAGUAGGUCCCAAGGGUAUGGCUGUUCGCCAUUUAAAGUGGUACGCGAGCUGGGUUUAGAACGUCGUGAGACAGUUCGGUCCCUAUCUGCCGUGGGCGCUGGAGAACUGAGGGGGGCUGCUCCUAGUACGAGAGGACCGGAGUGGACGCAUCACUGGUGUUCGGGUUGUCAUGCCAAUGGCACUGCCCGGUAGCUAAAUGCGGAAGAGAUAAGUGCUGAAAGCAUCUAAGCACGAAACUUGCCCCGAGAUGAGUUCUCCCUGAGACUUUAGGUCUCCUGAAGGAACGUUGAAGACGACGACGUUGAUAGGCCGGGUGUGUAAGCGCAGCGAUGCGUUGAGCUAACCGGUACUAAUGAACCGUGAGGCUUAACCUUACA
rnacentral:rRNA from 1 species